rnacentral:rRNA from 1 species
CCCUUAGAUGUUCUGGGCUGCACGCGCGCUACACUGAUGCGUUCAACGAGUUUAUGACCUUGCCCGAUAGGGUUGGGUAAUCUUUUUAAAUCGCAUCGUGAUGGGGAUAGAUUAUUGCAAUUAUUAAUCUUCAACGAGGAAUUCCUAGUAAGCGCGAGUCAUCAGCUCGUGCUGAUUACGUCCCUGCCCUUUGUACACACCGCCCGUCGCUCCUACCGAUUGAAUGGUCCGGUGAAGCGUUCGGACCGUGGCCUUUGGACGGUUCGCCGUCUGUUGGCUGCGGGAAGUUCGUUAAACCUUAUCAUUUAGAGGAAGGAGAANUCGUAACA